UACGUAGGCAGCGAGCGUUGUUCGGAGUUAUUGGGCGUAAAGAGCUCGUAGGCGGUUUGUCGCGUCGGCCGUGAAAACUUGGGGCUUAACCCCAAGCCUGCGGUCGAUACGGGCAGACUUGAGUUCGGCAGGGGAGACUGGAAUUCCUGGUGUAGCGGUGAAAUGCGCAGAUAUCAGGAGGAACACCGGUGGCGAAGGCGGGUCUCUGGGCCGAUACUGACGCUGAGGAGCGAAAGCGUGGGGAGCGAACAGG
rnacentral:rRNA from 1 species